GGAGCGGCCGGGCCAUCGGCCGGGCCCUCCAUUGGGCGAGCCACGCUGAGGGAUCCUUCUUCGAGCCUAUCAAAGGUGCGAAUCUGAAGCCGGGGAGGCGGUAUUUCCAAGCGGACCGGCUUUGGAGGUCACAGCUCCGCGGGGUGCGGGCUAGUGGCCCAAAGAGCUGCGAGGCCAGGGUCUUCCAUUUGCCGGUGUGAACUCAGGUGCCCCGGUCCCUUGAGGCCAUCCCUGACUCUUCGCGCUCGGAGAACCGAAUUUCGCAGAGCUCAUCACUGAGGAUAUUUUGCCGGGAAUUAAGUCCUUCCUUCUGUUACUCAGUAGUCGAUUGAGGGGAAGAACAAAAAAUCACAUUGUGCCCUGACAAGAUACGUUACUGUUGCUAAAAUUGUCAACUAUAAUGCUUUGUGAGUAAUGUACUUCCUGCAAACCUAGAAAUUUCAGAUUUGAAGAAAAUGAACUAAGAUACGAUAUGAAGAAGAACUUCCAACAUCAGCACUCUCUGGAAGAGUCAUACCAG